AACUAUAACCGUGCUAAGGUAGGAAUUCCCAUGUACGUGCACAUGGGAGCUGCCCCUCCCACCAGCGAUGGCGGUGAGUGCAGCUGGCUAUAUGCUGGAAAACCCGGACGUAUCCAUUCGGUACUAGUCGUUUUUUGUCACACCCAUUCAAUAGGGUUAUGGCAUGGACGGCAGUGACAAUCCGAUGGUGAGUGGUUCAGCAAGAGCCGCGCCGGAAAAUCAGCAGGAAACCGCAACAGCGGGAUCCUCAGAGACCAUACGCCAGCCACCUCGCUCUUUGACGAGGUGAAGAGAUGGUCCGGGCCCUGCGGCGACGUAGGGAGGCUGGCGGAAACGACCAGCCCCAUCUAAGCGGAGAAUAGCGAAGAUGGUAACAAUUCCCAGCGAAAUUCCUUGUCGGGUAAGUCCAACUUGCCCCUUGAGAGAGUGAUCUCUCUAGCAAAUCCGGCUAAUAACGGGGAACCCCUAACUCAUUCGAGCGGGGAAUCCCGUGGGAAGUCGAGAGCUCCAUGCUCUUUGACCCCGUAACGACUGAGGCGAAAGCCGAGAUGGCGUUCCUGCCUUAUGGCAAAUCAAAGGACGUCAUAAGACGCCGGCCCUCUGAGCACGUAGUCAGUCCAGUGCAACAGAGGUGAAGGGAUAGUCUGCGCCCCUAGAGAUAGGGGAACAACGUGAAGUUCCGACCUGCACGAAUGGCGUAACGAUUUGGGCGCUGUCUCAAUCAGGGACUCGGCGAAAUUGCAAUACGAGUAAAGAUGCUCGUUACCCGCGGAAGGACGGAAAGACCCUAGGACCUUUACUGCAGCUUGAUAUUGGAGUUUGGGACGUUUUGUGUAGGAUAGGCGGGAGACUUUGAAACCUGGACGCUAGUUCAGGUGGAGUCAACCUUGAAAUACCGCCCUGAAUGUUCUGGGCUUCUAACCCGGGUCCGUUAUCCGGAUCGGGAACAGUGUCAGGUGGGUAGUUUCACUGGGGCGGUGACCUCCUAAAAUGUAACGGAGGUGUUCAAAGGUUCCCUCAUCCUGGUUGGCCAUCAGGAUUUGAGUGCAAUCGCACAAGGGAGCUUGACUGCGAGACUGACAAGUCGAGCAGGUGCGAAAGCAGGAGAUAGUGAUCCGGCGGCUCCUCGUGGUAGGGCCGUCGCUCAUCGGCUAAAAGGUACCCUAGGGAUAACAGGCUGAUCGUGCCCAAGAGUCCAUAUCGACGGCACGGUUUGGCACCUCAAAAUUGGGGUGAAGCGGCAGAAAUGCCGCUUGAGUAUCGGCUUAUAACGGUGAACCCCGAAACUGUCGCAUCGACUGCGUACAGUGGGCAACACCGUGGGAAGUCUGUCGGGAGUGCAGCGAUCUGUUGUCAUCGGAAGUUUAUUGGGUGACGGCGCAAUGCGCUGCAAGACCAACGCCCUUCUCGAGGUCAACCACUCUGCAGCUCAACGCAGCUAUGUGGACUGGAAGUAUCAACAGCUAGCGGAGCUAGUUGCCACUCCACCCAAGCUCCGAGCCGGCAAUGAAGGCCGGAUGGCGUACCGCUUCGUGACGCGUAGCGUCUCAGCGAUGACACCGUACUACAAAGCCUUCUAUGGCAAUGGUCGCAAGGAAAUCCCGCUCAUCGAGCUGGACGACCUCGCACUAGCAGUCUGGUUCAUGGAUGAUGGUUGUCGAUCGAGGAGAGCGGUGUAUCUCAACACUCAGCAAUUCGAUGUCAAGAGUCAGAUAAGAGUCAUCGAAAUGCUUCAAGAGCAGUGGGGCUUACAGGCAACACUCAAUCGCGACAAGUGCUACUACCGGGUUCGACUCUCGGUGGCUAGUACUGUCAGAUUCGUUCGCAUCAUCGAGCCUCACUUACUCUCUGAGAUGAGAUACAAGCUCCCGCAUGUGACCCCGUAACGACUGUGGUCUUUACCGACCAAGGUGGCGAUCCUCGCCUCUUCGGAGGCAAAUCUAUGAUCGCCACAAUACGCCGACCCCUCGCCUUUGGUUGGGCAGGGUGAAGAUAUAGUCUGCGCCGCCGGAAACGGCGGAUACACGUGCGAUGUCGGCUCGUCGCAUCCUGGGGCUGGAGCAGGUCCCAAGGGUUGGGCUGUUCGCCCAUUAAAGCGGCACGCGAGCUGGGUUUAGAACGUCGUGAGACAGUGGACAAUCGCGCUGUCUAUAAAUCUGGCUAAAUGCUGGAAUCUCCGGAGCAUCCUGCGGUACCGAUUCUGUCACACCUUUCUUCUAAGGUUGGCGCAUGGAGAUCGGUGACAAUCCGCCAGGUGUGUGGCUGCAAUCAGCUACGCCGGACAAUCAGCAGGAAAGACUGAACGACUACCUUGCUGGAUACGUCGACGGGGAAGGAAGCUUCCACGUCGCAGUUCAGCGCAAUCCAUCUACAAGUCGGGCUUUCUUCGACUUGUAGAGAUAAGCCUACGGAUGAACGGAGACGGAAAGUACCGAAGGAAGGAUUGGUCGUCCAGAAUCCUCAGAGGCCAUAUGCCAGACACGGACAAAGUUCCGUGAAGAUAUGGUCCGACCCCCAUGGCGACAUGGGGAGCCAGGCGGAACCGAAACGACCUGGACGCCGGAGCCAUUUUGGUUCCGGAGGUAACAGAAGUGUCGGUCCCUAUCCUCCGCGGGCGUAGGAGACUUGAGGGGAGCUGACCCUAGUACGAGAGGACCGGGUCGGACGCAUCUCUAGUGUGCCAGUUGUCCUGCCAAGGGCAUGCUGGUUAGCUACAUGCGGAGCGGAUAAGCGCUGAAAGCAUCUAAGUGCGAAGCCGACCCCAAGAUGAGGUCUCCCACCGGGUUAACCGGGUAAGGCCCCUUGCUAGACGACAAGGUUGAUAGGCCGGAGCUGUAAGCACAGCAAUGUGUUCAGGCGACCGGUACUAAUAGGCCGAGGGCUUGGUAUC
rnacentral:rRNA from 1 species